UCUUGGCAUACAUGUUGGUUUGUACCACCAUGUUCUUUAGUACGUUGUCAGGGACAAAGAGUUGAAAAAAGUCCAUGGCACUGGCAGUCAAGGGCAUUUUUCGUGUUGGACCGCUGCUAUCCUUGAAGCGAGGCGGCGGGACGUCUCGCAGCGACCGCGUCCAGCCGCCCGUCUCCGCGUCCUCCUCCUCCCCCUCCUCCAUCGGGCCCGGGCCGCCCGGCAUCGCGCCGCCGCCGCCGGUCUGCCGCUGCUGCUGCCGCCGCCGCUCCGCCGUGGCCGGCGCCGGCCUGGGGACGCGACGCCGAGCCGCCCUGCUCCGCGGGCACGGCCCCUCCGGACGCCCCUCGCCCUCAUCGUCGUCCUCCUCGUCCUGGGAAGAGGCGGCGG
rnacentral:lncRNA from 1 species